AGCGAACGUUAGCGGCACGCCUAACACAUGCAAGUCGCACGAGAAAGGGAGCAAUCCUGAGUAGAGUGGCGCACGGGUGCGUAACACGUAGAUAACCUGCCCUUUGGAGGGGGAUAACGUUCCGAAAGGAGCGCUAAUACCGCAUAACGCCUUUUCCGGUUCGCCGGAGAUUGACAAAGGUAGGGACCCGCAAGGGCCUACCGCCAGAGGAGGGGUCUGCGGCCCAUCAGCUAGUUGGGGAGGAAUGGCUCACCAAGGCAGAGACGGGUAGCUGGUCUGAGAGGAUGAUCAGCCACCCUGGUACUGGAACACGGACCAGACUCCUACGGGAGGCAGCAGUGGGGAAUCUUGGUCAAUGGGCGCAAGCCUGAACCAGCGAUGCCGCGUGAGUGAUGAAGGCCCUAGGGUUGUAAAGCUCUUUUACCCGGGAAGAUAAUGACGGUACCGAGAGAAGAAG
rnacentral:rRNA from 1 species